rnacentral:rRNA from 1 species
GUGCCAGCAGCCGCGGUAAUACGUAGGGUGCAAGCGUUAAUCGGAAUUACUGGGCGUAAAGCGUGCGCAGGCGGUUAUGUAAGACAGAUGUGAAACGCCCGGGCUUAACCUGGGAACUGCAUUUGUGACUGCAUGGCUAGAGUGUGUCAGAGGGGGGUAGAAUUCCACGUGUAGCAGUGAAAUGCGUAGAUAUGUGGAGGAACACCGAUGGCGAAGGCAGCCCCCUGGGCCAAUACUGACGCUCAUGCACGAAAGCGUGGCGAGCAAACAGGAUUAGAUACCCUCGUAGUCC